rnacentral:rRNA from 1 species
CUACGAAGGGGGCUAGCGUUGUUCGGAAUUACUGGGCGUAAAGCGCGCGUAGGCGGACUGAUCAGUUGGGGGUGAAAUCCCAGGGCUUAACCCUGGAACUGCCUCCAAUACUGUCAGUCUUGAGUUCGGGAGAGGUGAGUGGAAUUCCUAGUGUAGAGGUGAAAUUCGUAGAUAUUAGGAAGAACACCAGUGGCGAAGGCGGCUCACUGGCCCGAUACUGACGCUGAGGCGCGAAAGCGUGGGGAGCAAACAGGAUUAGAAACCCUUGUAGUCC